rnacentral:rRNA from 1 species
GCGAGCGUUGCCCGGAUUUAUUGGGCGUAAAGGGCGCGUAGGCGGUCACGCACGUCCGUUGUGAAAUCGCUCGGCUCAACUGGGCGGGGUCAGCGGAUACGGCGUGGCUGGAGCAAGCUAGGGGGCAAUGGAAUUCCCGGUGUAGUGGUGGAAUGCGUAGAUAUCGGGAGGAACACCAGUGGCGAAGGCGGUUGCCUGGAGCUUUGCUGACGCUGAUGCGCGAAAGCGUGGGGAGCGAUCCGG